CAAACGGGGUCUGCAGGGGGAGUCCUUUGCUGAGAGUCCCACAGUCUGUCAGUGGCAGGAAGGACUGAUCAGAGAAGGACCUGGAAGGUCAGGUGUGGGGUUGUCCUUUGAGGGAGUGAGGACAGCCGAGGGUGGGUAGGACGCUCGGAACAGCCGGGGUGUGUUGCUUCACCGCAGGCUGCUUGGAAGUGGACACUUUCAGUUUCCCUCUCACGUCCCAGACAUAUUUGGGCCUGAGGUGUAGUUACUGCAGAGACCCGUAGCCAGGUCCUCACAGCUAAGACCCACUGAAUGUGCUUCUGCUCAGAGGAAGAUCUCUGGAUGAGGGUGAACCCGAAGCUCCAGCCCCAGGUCCCGUGCUAAGCAGGGGCAUAGUCUGGAUUUGAACCCAGAGGCAAACCUAGAAGGCUUUGGAUUGUUGAAGUCACGUUUCUCCCCAAACACCUGCAUCGCAAGGCCUGGUGUUCCCUUCGGCCCUGCCUGCGCCCUCCAAGGAUUGCCUGGCUCUGGGUGAGUCCCUUCCCUGGGGAUUCUUUGUUCACAUCUCUUAAGAACUUGGCUUCAGUCUUUUCAUGUUGAUUCAUAGGCUCUGUCAUGUUUCCUGGGUGCUCAGCUUUCAUCUGCUCUAAGUACGGAGGGUACUGCCUCCUGGUCUCUGACUGUAGUCUGACUUUGUUCACUGUGUCCUUUGCAAUUUUUAAUGUUUAAGAGGUCAGAUAACUGAAACUUUCCUUUUAUGGC